rnacentral:rRNA from 1 species
UACGUAGGUGGCAAGCGUUGUCCGGAAUCAUUGGGCGUAAAGCGCGCGCAGGCGGCCUUUUAAGUCUGAUGUGAAAGCCCCCGGCUCAACCGGGGAGGGCCAUUGGAAACUGGAAGGCUUGAGUACAGAAGAGAAGAGUGGAAUUCCACGUGUAGCGGUGAAAUGCGUAGAGAUGUGGAGGAACACCAGUGGCGAAGGCGACUCUUUGGUCUGUAACUGACGCUGAGGCGCGAAAGCGUGGGGAGCAAACAGG